rnacentral:rRNA from 1 species
GAUGAACGCUAGCGGCAGGCUUAAUACAUGCAAGUCGAGGGACAGCACAGGUAGCAAUACUGGGUGGUAACCGGCAAACGGGUGCGGAACACGUACACAACCUUCCUUUAAGUGGGGGAUAGCCCAGAGAAAUUUGGAUUAAUACCCCGUAAUAUAGUUGAAUGGCAUCAUUUGAUUAUUAUAGCUACGGCGCUUAAUGAUGGGCGUGCGGCUGAUUAGAUAGUUGGCGGGGUAACGGACCACCAAGUCUACGAUCAGUAGCUGAUGUGAGAGCAUGAUCAGCCACACGGGCACGGAGACACGGGCCCGACUCCUACGGGAGGCAGCAGUAAGGAAUAUUGGUCAAUGGACGCAAGUCUGAACCAGCCAUGCCGCGUGAAGGAUUAAGGUCCUCUGGAUUGUAAACUUCUUUUAUUUGGGACGAAAAAGGGCCUUUCUAGGUCAACUGACGGUACCAGAUGAAUAAGCACCGGCUAACUCCGUGCCAGCCGCCGCAGUAAAAC